rnacentral:rRNA from 1 species
UCCGUUCAAAGGUAGUGUAAUUCCUGCCUAUUAAUUGUAGGCCAAUGAAAGGAUUGACGGGCUAAAAUUGUCUCGUUUAUGGCGAUAGAAUUUAACUUUGUGGUGAAGAGGCCACGAUGUAUUAGAAGGACGAGAAGACCCUGUCAAACUUUAGUAUAGGGUGAUAUUCAUGUUAAUUUAUGGUAUAUGUUAUUUAAUAUUUUAGUUGGGGCAACUUAGAAGGAUAAAGACUUUUACUACAGGAUAUGAUAAUUUAUGGGUGAUUUGAUCCAAAAGUAGGCCUUAGAGGGUGUGUUUUAGGUUUUGAAUAUAGAAUAAGUUACUGGAG